rnacentral:rRNA from 1 species
UACGUAGGGCGCAAGCGUUGUCCGGAAUUAUUGGGCGUAAAGAGCUCGUAGGCGGCCUGUUGCGUCCGCUGUGAAAUCCCGAGGCUCAACCCCGGGCGUGCAGUGGAUACGGGCUGGCUGGAGGCAGGCAGGGGAGAACGGAAUUCCUGGUGUAGCGGUGAAAUGCGCAGAUAUCAGGAGGAACACCGGUGGCGAAGGCGGUUCUCUGGGCCUGUACUGACGCUGAGGAGCGAAAGCGUGGGGAGCGUACAGG